CUCGUCCACUCAAACGAGAAGAAACAUGGGAGGUCAACAGAUUGAUGAAACUAGUGAAUUACACUGCUGAGAAGAUUACAAUAUGUGGAAGAACUCCAGAAGCUAGUCAAUGGAAUCUGCAUGUGUGGUUGAAUAGAAUAACCCAAAGAAAUAGUAGAAAGUAGUAAACAAACAUGCCGUAUCUCAUUACAUAGUCAUGUAGCUACAGUGAGAAGAAACAAGCAUAAAAUUAUAAUAACUUACAAGAAAUUCAACAAAAUUAAAUUAUACAAACACCUGGGGUAAAAAAAAUGGCUGGAGUCAGUAUACCUCCAGGGACAAUGCCAUAUUUCUGGGGGAGAAUCACCCGUGAAGAAGCCACCACAGUUCUAAGGCAGGCAGGCUGCAGAGAUGGCAUGUACCUUCUGCGAGAGAGUGUAAAUAAACAUGGGAAUUAUGCACUGUCUUUGUGUUUCCGUGAUGAGGUUCACCAUUACAACAUAGAACGUCAGCUUGACGGGAAAUAUCAGAU